AGAAAAUAAAAAGAUAAAUUAAUGUCUUCAUUUCACAUGAAAAUGAAGAUGACCAUCACACGAACUGAAAUUCUUCUCAAGUUCUCGAUUUCAACUUUUUCAAAAUCUCAUGAUCCGAGCAGAUCUAAUUGAACGCUGCACCACGAAUCUCAAUCGCACAUCCACCUUAGAUAUGCCUCAUAACGUAAUCUGUAGCGAGCAUCUCCACCACAGCUCCACCUCUACACCGAUCAGGUUCCCCGCAGCUCCACCACAACUCCACCGCACAGAUCGAACCGUGGACAGUAACAGUUUCGUAAGCUCUUACAAUAGAGGCAUUUGCUACAGAUUUUGUACAAGUCUCUUUAGCAUCUAGAGCAACAUAUUGAGUGUUUAAAUGAAAAGGAUUUAAUUGCUACUUCUAUUCUGAAGUAGCAACAUAUUGUGUAGUUGUCUCAUUCAGUGAACUUAAUCGUUGAUUGUUAAAUGUUAAUGAUGAAAGAUGUAAACGGUGUGACAGGAAACUGAUUAGUGUUCUACAAGCAGGAUUAUCCAGAGAUGGACGUUUAUAUGCGUUAAUGUUUAUUGUACAAUGUACAGGUUAAAGUUUUGCAGCUAUACUAGUCGCGAAGACUGCCUUAUAAGGCUAUUUGGAACUACAUCAGACUUGAGCUUUAUGGAAAGCUGAAGCAGACCUCUACUACAGCCAGUUGGUGUCUAAUGUAGAAUCAGAAAAUUCAUGUCGAACCAUUAAGUGCCUGAUCAGUGAAGCCUUCAAGAUAUGGCAAAGAAGAAAAUGCUUAAACUGAAACAUGGAAUAGCUAGAUGCCUAAAGGAAGAGAAACUCAGUUUAUUUAAUCACUAGCAUAUAGAUUAUUGUUAGAUUGCAAGUAACAACGAAGUUGGCAUAUUUUGUGGUAUCAAGUUAUAGGAUGGUAACCAAAAGACCUUGUAAUUUUUAAUAUUUUGUUUGAUUGUAUAAAAAUCGUUUGUGAUA